CUGAGAGAUAACAGAGAAUAUAUGGAUAGAAACUAAAAGUCCAGGGUAAAAAAAGUCUGUAUGGUGGAUGAAUCCAAAACCAAGGUAUUCUCUGUAGAAGAGGGUACAAACUUUGAUAGUAGGUGUAUUCCUCAGAGUGAUAUAAGUACGUCUUUGCAGUUCAUAUGAAAUAGUCAAAAAUGACAACUGAUGGUGCAGUAUGUCCCAAAAAGGUGUAGAGUGCAAUACAAAAGAUAUAUGGUCCUACUCACUUUUAGUAGCUGAGAGGGAACGGAAAUAGUUGUGAGUAUUGUUGCGUCAAAAC